rnacentral:rRNA from 1 species
UACGAAGGAUCCAAGCGUUGUCCGGAUUUACUGGGUUUAAAGGGUGCGUAGGCGGGGAAUUAAGUCAGUGGUGAAAGCUGGUAGCUCAACUAUCAAAUUGCCAUUGAAACUGAUUCUCUCGAGUACGGUUGAGGUAGCUGGAAUGUAACAUGUAGCGGUGAAAUGCUUAGAUAUGUUACAGAACACCGAUUGCGAAGGCAGGCUACUAAACCGUAACUGACGCUGAGGCACGAAAGCGUGGGGAUCAAACAGGAUUAGAUACCCUGGUAGUCCACGCUGUAAACGUUGCAUACUCGGUCUUAGCGAUAUACAGUUAGGACCUAAGCGAAAGCAUUAAGUAUGCCACCUGGGGAGUACGGUCGCAAGAUUGAA